UACGGAGGGAGCUAACGUUGUUCGGAUAUACUGGGCGUAAAGCGCACGUAGGCGGCGCCGUAAGUCAGGGGUGAAAUCCCGGAGCUCAACUCCGGAACUGCCCUUGAAACUGCAGUGCUAGAAUCUUGGAGAGGCGAGUGGAAUUCCGAGUGUAGAGGUGAAAUUCGUAGAUAUUCGGAAGAACACCGGUGGCGAAGGCGGCUUCCUGGACCGACACUGACGCUGAGGCGCGAAAGCUAGGGGAGCAAACGGG
rnacentral:rRNA from 1 species